rnacentral:rRNA from 1 species
NNUUUGGUCUCGUUUCGGNUCCGAUUUAGCNUGCUAGUCGCGCGGGUUCAGACCCGCGGCGAACAGCUCAGUACCACGUGGUCGAACUACCCUCUGGAGACGGACACCCUCGGGAAACUGAGGCCAACCCGUCAUACGACACCCACGCUUGAACGCCGGGUGCCGGAAACGCUCCGGCGCCACAGGACGUGACUGCGGCCGAUUAGGUCGACGGUGGGGUAACGGCCCACCGUGCCGAUAAUCGGUCCGGGUUGUGAGAGCAAGAACCCGGAGACGGAAUCUGAGACAAGAUUCCGGGCCCUACGGGGCGCGGCAGGCGCGAAACCUUGACACUGCACGCCAGUGCGAUUAGGGGACUCCGAAUGCGAGGACAUACCGUCCUCGCUUUUCUGUCCGGUACGAACGUACAGGAACAAGGGCUGGGCAAGACCGGUGCCAGCCGCCGCGGUAAUACCGGCAGCCCGAGUGAUGACUGAUCUUAUUGGGCCUAAAGCGUCCGUAGCCGGCCGGACGGGUCCGUCGGGAAAUNCACGCGCUNAACGCGUGGGCGUNCGGCGGAUACCAUCCGGCUUGGGACCGAACGACCCGAGGGGUACNUUCGGGGUAGGAGUGAAAUUCCGUAAUC